rnacentral:lncRNA from 1 species
CGCUGGGUCCCCGGGGGAAGGAGAGCACAGCCCUUCAUUAGCUGUAAUGAGUGUCUGUCUGUCUUGGGCUAGGGCCAUGGGCUGAGCAGCCCGACCUGACCUAGAAAAACCCCUUAAUGCGGCCUUGGUUCUGCAAGGGGCAAGGCUCUUAUCUAAUCACCAGCCCCAUCCUUCAGCAGCACAGCCGCUGCAGCCCUGUUAACUCAAUUAGGAAAUCACCACGCCGAGCUAUUUACAGGCUGGGUGUAAUGGCUGUGGCGACAGGAGACAAUAACAGGGAAACAAAGGGCACAAAGGGCUGUGAUGGGAUAACCGGCAUCCCCUGCACCCCCAGGCCGUGGCCAAGCUCUGCUGCUCCAUGGGGCUCUCUCCUCCCCACCGAGGGUCUCUUUCUUUGCCAUCUCUUAGCCUCAGAGAAACUCUCACAUUUCCAAAGCAUUUCAGCUGGAGAGGGGGCGUGGUGGGGUUUUUUUUUUCCCGUUUUUAAAAAAUUUUUUUCUUUCCCCAAGAACCUUAUUUUAAGUCUUUCCUCCCCCUCUGCCCUGCUCCAGGUCUGCUUUGCCUUGUGUUGUCCACUGGAGAUGUCAGAGCUACCCCCGGGGGGAUGGAGCCCAGGUGCUGUGCUGGACAUCCCUGGAGGUUCCUCAGGGAACGGGGUCAGCCCCUGGAAGGUUUGGGAAGCUGCUCUUUUAGUGCUCCCAGGACCUUUCCUUCCCACCUGCAAGAGAGAAACGCGGGCAAAGCAGGGUCACCAGAGCCCUGGCGACAGGAGUGCCACAGAGACAGGAAGCAGCUCUGGAGCUGGCAUGGAUCACCAGAAGUUCUCCCACCUGUUCCCAGCAUUAACCUUGCAGCUCCAGCUCAGCUGGAGUGAGAUCCCAGCCCCCUGCCUGGCUGGGAGUGUCCUGAGCAGAGCCACUCAGCAGCUCUGGAGGGUCCCUCUGGCAUCUCGGAGCUCAGGGCUCCUCAUUAAUCAGCCAUCACACAGGGAAAUUCCAGUGUCUUCCAGCAGGCUUUUUCCUCUGGAUGAGGAAGCAGCUGCCUCUUAAUUAGAGGCCAGCUAAGUGCUACGUGUGCUCUGCCAGGCUGUGCAUAUUUAAUAGCUCAGCUCCCAGCUGCUGCUGUGCUGGAGGAAGCUGCAAAGUCCCCUUUGAUGUUUCCUCACGCCGGCUGUCCUUGGAAACUGGGGGAGCAGAGCCACCCAGACACCCCAAAAUCCACGGGGGCAGGGAGGGACAGGGAUGGGCCUCCUUGGCUGCACUGAUCUGGAUGAUUUACCCAGGAUGGGACAGGGGCAGGACUGGCCUGGAGAGGGGCAGUGGGACCUGCUGCUGCCCUGUCCUACCCAAACACAUCCAGUCUGGGCCCUGUGUGAGAGUCUGUGCGAAAUAUCCCUCAUCUGCCUCACGAUCAUCACUGGGGAGACCACCAAAGAAACAAGACACUUCCUGUCUCCUGAUCUUGUAGGGGAAAGUCAUAUGCCUGAGACCUGAGAGCACAGUGCUAAGCUAUUGUUUUCACAGGUGUUGUUUGCUGUAUGCUAAGAAGGGGGCACCGUGCACUUUUUGCAACAACAGCCUUGGGAGCUGUCCCACCUCUUGGCCUGGCUGGACUUCUCCUGAGUUUUGGGUGGUCUCCCACAAAAGACCCUCACCUGUUUUACAACCACUGUGACAGACAGACUGAGAUGCAAGAAGCCUCUCCAUCAAGGACCGAGACAUGGAACCCCCAUGUGAAAAGGCCCCUCUGCUCCUCCCAAGGACUGGGACUGAGACCCCCAGCCUGGGGCAGGUGUGUGGGGGAGGCAAGCUGACCAAAGCGAGAUGUUUGCCUGCAGGUUGUGACCGCUGGACCAAGAAAACAAUGGCUCUCAUUUACUCUUGAGAACGUGGACUACCUGUUACAUCUGUUCCUUAUUGUAUCUGUUUCCCCCCUCACAAUUUUCAACAGAGUUAUCAUAAUAAAAACCUCUGAGUUAGCA